ensembl:misc_RNA
GUGACAGCACUUGAAGAUGAAUUCCUGCAUUUUUCUGCAGUAGUUGCAUAGCAGAAGACAGUGGCAGGGCGCACUUCUCUUACAAAUGUCUGAACCCUGACCUAGAGAGAUCACCUUUAGAGAUGAGUCUCCGUGCCCAUUCAAUCCUUGACCUCC